CCUACGGGUAGCAGCAGUGAGGCAUCUUGGUCACUGGCCGGAAGGCUGCACCAGCCAAGCCGCGUGAAGGACGCAGGUGCCAAGCAUUGUAAACUUCUUUUGUCCAGGGACCAAAUCCGGCUCGAGAGCCUGACCGUGGGUACUUGAAGACACCGCAUCGGCUACCUCCGUUCCCGCAGCCGCGGUAAUACGGGGGAUUCGAGCGUUAUCCGGAUUUAUUGUGUUUAAGGGGUGCGUAGGCGGACUGUUAAGUCAGCGGUAAAAGCCUGGGGCUCAACCCCGGCGAGCCGUUGAAACUGGCUGGCUUGAGAUGGCGAGAGGUAUGCGGAAUGCGCAGUGUAGCGGUGAAAGGCUUAGAUAUUGCGCAGAACUCCGAUUGCGAAGGCAGCAUACCGGCGGCGAACUGACGCUGAGGCACGAAAGCGUGGGUAUCGAACAGGAUUAGAGACCCGAGUAGUC
rnacentral:rRNA from 1 species